rnacentral:rRNA from 1 species
CCUACGGGAGGCUGCAGUAGGGAAUAUUGGUCAAUGGGUGAGAGCCUGAACCAGCCAUGCCGCGUGCAGGAAGACGGCCUUCUGGGUUGUAAACUGCUUUUAUCGGGGGAGAAAAAGGCCUUGCGAGGCACAUUGAAGGUACCAGAUGAAUAAGCACCGGCGAACUACGGGCCAGCAGCCGCGGGAAUACGGAGGGUGCAAGCGUUGUUUGGAUUUAACGGGUGCAAAGGGGGUGUAGGCGGUCAGUGAAGAAAUCCAACAGCUCAACUGUUGAUGUGCCAAUGAUACUGAUGGACUUGAGUACAGACGAGGUAGGCGGAAUUGACAGUGUAGCGGUGAAAUGCAUAGAUAUUGUCAAGAACACCGAUAGCGAAGGCAGCUUGCUAGCCUGUAACUGACGCUGAGGCACGAAAGUAUGGGGAUCAAACAGGAUUAGAUACCCGAGUAGUC